ACGGGAUUUGCGAAACCCAAGGUGCAUGCCGAGGGGCGGUUGGCCUCGUAAAAAGCCGCAAAAAAAUAGUCGCAAACGACGAAACCUACGCUUUAGCAGCUUAAUAACCUGCUUAGAGCCCUCUCUCCCUAGCCUCCGCUCUUAGGACGGGGAUCAAGAGAGGUCAAACCCAAAAGAGAUCGCGUGGAUGCCCUGCCUGGGGUUGAAGCGUUAAAACGAAUCAGGCUAGUCUGGUAGUGGCGUGUCCGUCCGCAGGUGCCAGGCGAAUGUAAAGACUGACUAAGCAUGUAGUACCGAGGAUGUAGGAAUUUCGG
rnacentral:tmRNA from 1 species